UUAAAUGUAGCAUACUUUUGUAUUCAACAUUUGGUUUCACAAAAUUGAAUCCAGUAUAAUUAAUUACCUUAAGUCACCUUAUUCAUAAAUCGAGUCCAUCCUUAUGUAAUGUAAUCUCUAUAUAAAUCUGACUGUCCAUGUGAAAAUGGAAAGAUGGACAGCUGCAAACCAAGACAACGCUGUCCAAAUAAACGGAAUGGCCGAGUAAGAGGAGCGAUGACUCUGGAGGAGCUGCAGAGAUCCGCAGGUCGGGUAGGAGACUCUGUUGAAACGAUGUCCGUCAGCGGAUUACUUUGUUUUCGGAGCAGCAAAACUCCAUUUACAGGCCGGCCUGACUGCAGACAGCUGAAGGGGGAAACCCCGGUUACCACAGCGUUUAUCUGCCCAGGCACUCUGAGAUUUCCUGCUUUCUGCUAGCUGCUCAUCACAGCUGAGGGCAGAUGUUCAGAUGCAGUUUGCCAAAAUCUCCCAGAGAUCUUCUUCAUGUCCUGCCAUCAUUAUGUACCUGCAGACUGAUUUUAUUUAUUUAUUUUUUCACAAAAAAAAACAUUUCCUGUGCCGUAAAUAUCUGCGUUUACUUGAUUAUAAGAACAAUAAAAAAGUGUUAAUCAGUGUUUUAGUAGUUUCUAAAUGUAUUAUAGUUGUACAGCAACAAGUCUGGCCAGAUGCAGGUUGGUUAAAAAGAUUAAAUGACAAAUAUUUAUCUAAACUUUUCCUGCCUGUGGAUUCAGUGCAACCUGAGGAAUAAUAGAAGAAAUUAAUCAACUGUGUAACUCUAAAGAUGCUCAUCAGCUGCAGUUAUCAGUUAAAACUAAAAAUAAUAAUUUAUUAGGGUUGGAGUACAGCAGACAGGAGUUUCUCAGCAUAAGAGAAGAUGUGCAGUACAGAGCGAGCCUUCUAGCAUUCAUGGGUCAGAUUGCCAAAAACCAUUCGACAUAAUUUUCCAUUGUGCGGAUAAAUGUCU